UACAGAGGGGGCAAGCGUUGUCCGGAAUCACUGGGCGUAAAGGGCGCGUAGGCGGCUUGAUAAGGUUGCGGUGAAAGCCCGGGGCUCAACCCCGGGUCGGCCGUGGCAACUGUCGAGCUGGAGCACUGUAGAGGCAGGUGGAAUUCCGGGUGUAGCGGUGGAAUGCGUAGAGAUCCGGAAGAACACCGGUGGCGAAGGCGGCCUGCUGGGCAGUGGCUGACGCUGAGGCGCGACAGCGUGGGGAGCAAACAGG
rnacentral:rRNA from 1 species